GCAGAAAUAGCUCAGUUGGUAGAGCGUCAGACUAUAAAUCGAAAGGUCACGGGUUCGAUCCCUGAUUCUGGCA
rnacentral:tRNA from 1 species